GCCAAAACCAGUCUCAGUUCGAGACUGUCUGCCUGUCUGGCUUAGUCUGAGGAUAAAACUGAGAGAAUCUGCAGGAAAGAACUGGAGAGGUGCCCUAGGCCUCUAGGCAGAGAAGUCCCAGCAGCUGCUGCAAGGAAGCAGAUGUGCCUGAGGAAAGAAGCCAGGAGGGGCAGCAGCACUUGGGAUAGGACGCUGUCCUCGGUGACAUCACGUGGAUGUGGCUUUUACCGGCCUAGAGCAGAGACUUGCUGGAUCUCCCAACAAUCCUCACCCCAAACUUGAACUGUUCGGGGAGGAACAGAGAGCCUCCAUCCAUCCAUCCCACCAAAAGGAUCAUCCAGGUAACUCUCUGCCACCUUCUUCUUUCCAAGUCCAAACCUUGGAGAGACAGGUAAGCUAUCACUUGCGGGAAAACCAUCAUUUUUAAAAUUAAUGCACAUUUUCAGUACAUGUUCACACUCCUUGUGUGGAGGUGACACAUGUAUACAGCUCAUCAUAAUUUCUGUUUUCAUCCCCUUACCUUGCCUUCCCCUCCCUCCAUCUUUCAAUCUCUUCUCAUUUGAGAAAGUAUAUUGUCUAUCUUUUGUUUUGCUCUUUAUUUUGAAUUUUUCAUGUAAGAGAAAGCAUGUUAUAUUUACGCUUGGGUGUCUGGUUUCAUUUCACUUAAUAUUAUGGUCUCAAGGUACAGUACUAACGAAAUCAACGUGGAGAUUCCUCAAAAAACCAAAAUUAGAAAUUCCAUUUGACCCAGCUAUUCCCCUUUUAGAUAACUUCCUGAAACAAUUAAAGAGAUUACAUUACAAUGAAACAUGCAUACCCAUGUUUACAGCACACAAUUCACUAAUAGCUAUAUCAUGGAAGAAGCCUGUAUGUCCAUUAAUAGACGAAUGGAUAAAGACAGUGUAGUAUCCACACACACAAGGAAGUACUACUAUGCCAUAAACAUAAACUUGAGUCAUCUGUAGGAAAUCUUGUCAUUCUAAAAUGGGCUAGAGAACAAAAUAGUUCCACCUCAAAAUAAUUCCAUCUAAAUUCAUAAUUGUCUCUGAAUUUUAUCAGAUAUGGGUCAAGGUUAAAUAACUAGGUAAAGAGCUGGAUUUGGAGAUAGGGCACAGUGCCUGCCUGACAAGCAUGAGGUCCUGAGUUCAAUUUCCAAUACCAAAAAAAGAGCUGGCUGUGGUGGAACAUGCCUGCAAUGCCAGUACUCUGGGAGGCUGAAGCAAUAAGUUUACAAGUUUAACCCCAGCUUGGGCAAUUUAGCAAUUUAUUGAGACCCUGAUUUUAGAAAAACGGAUGGCUGGAACAUCAGAAGACUUAUUUUUGGUUCCACCUUUUCCUCUGGAUAGCUCAACGGCUCUCAGGUGUAGCAAUUUCACUUUCCAGGGCACAUCUGGAAAUGCUGGAAGGAUGCCGGCUUUUAGUGGUAGAGGCUAGGAAUGCAACUAAAUGUACUAACGUAGAGGUCAGUCCCCACAAUGGUUAGCCGUCUCCAUCCUCAGCAAGGCAUUCUGACAUCAGCUCCAAUUUCUUUGUUCACAGACACAGAUUUUUAUUUUUGUUUUGCUUUGUUUUGUUUGUAGUACUGGAGACAACGCAGGGCCUUCCCACUGAGCUUCAUCCUCAGCCCCCUAUUUUUUUUUUUUUUUUUUUUAGACAGGAUCUUUUUAAAUUGUUAAACUGCCAGGUUGGGUUAGAACUUGGGCUCCUCCUGCAUCAGCCUCCCCAGAGUGCAGGUAUGUUCCAUCACUCUGGCUAGAUUAGCAUUUCACGCUCACCCUUGCACUGAACACACGUCCUAAGCGAUGAUCCUGUAAGGGUUUUCACCUUACGUUCACCAUUCCCACUAAUAGGAGAGGCCAAUGAAGAUCUUAUGAAUUCUAUGUGCUACUUAGAGAAAUGGACUUGACUAAAGUCACAAAGAAAAUCAAGGAGAAAACGGAACCUGAACCCAGGUCUCCUGAUUAUAAAUCCAAAGUUGUUUUCAUUACUCUGCACCAUAAAAUGAUAGGGUUCAACUAAACGACAAGCAUACACACCGUACACUUAAAGCACCUCAGACACCAUCCCACGGAUGGUACACAGAUCAUCUGAUACAGUCCUUGCCAUCACGCCACGCUGAAGGUACCCUUCUGGGAGGGGGUGAAGGGAGAAGCACAAGGUCACAGUGCUAGGAGACGGCAGGUCCUCAACUGAAACAGAGCAGUCUUAACCCCAGAACCUGCCCUUCACUCAGAAGCUGAAGAACAAGGUCCUGCCAGCCCUCGGGCCUAGUGGCCUCAUUUAACAAGCUCUCCAUUUCACAGCUGAACAGACUGAAGCUCCUGGAAGAACAGGAGUUGUCCAGGAAGAAGCUUUUCGAGAAGUGGAGAAAUCCAGGUCACCAAUUCCUACACCCAAGAUCAACUCUCACCUACCCCAGGGAGGUGGGUGGUGGGAAGAGGUAGAAAAUGUGCUGUAUUAAAACAACAGACCAAAGUCCAAAAUCUCCAGAACUGAAGUUGAUAGGAAAGUGGUGGUGGUGGUGGUGGAUCUGGAGAAAGAACUUGUGGGCAAGGGCUGGGGAUUUAGCUCAGUGGCAUAAGCACCUGCCUUGCAAGCAGGCAGUCGUGAGUUUGAUCCCCGGUACCUAUAAAAACGAAAAAGACAAAAAAAAAAAAAAAAAAAGAA